rnacentral:rRNA from 1 species
AGCGAACGCUGGCGGCAGGCCUAACACAUGCAAGUCGAACGAACUCUUCGGAGUUAGUGGCGGACGGGUGAGUAACACGUGGGAACGUACCUUUAGGUUCGGAAUAACUCAGGGAAACUUGUGCUAAUACCGAAUGUGCCCUUCGGGGGAAAGAUUUAUCGCCUUUAGAGCGGCCCGCGUCUGAUUAGCUAGUUGGUGAGGUAAAGGCUCACCAAGGCUACGAUCAGUAGCUGGUCUGAGAGGAUGACCAGCCACAUUGGGACUGAGACACGGCCCAAACUCCUACGGGAGGCAGCAGGGGGGAAUCUUGCGAAAUGGGCGAAAGCCUGACGCAGCCAUGCCGCGUGGAUGAUGAAGUUCUUAGGAUUGUAAAAUCCUUUCCCCGGUGAAGAUAAUGACUGUAGCCGGAGAAGAAGCCCCGGCAAACUUCGUGCCAGCCGCCGCCGUAA